rnacentral:lncRNA from 10 species
AUUACUAACUUAGUACUUGUUGGAUGGUUUCUGGUCAGUUCUGUAAAUGAACUUGGAAUUACAAGUCCUUUGAAGAGCAAUAAAGAAUAAUAGAGAAUAAAUAGAGAAAUAAAACAUAAAAUUUCAGCUCUAUAUAUUUAGGAUUGGCAAAAACAAAACAAAACAACCACAUACACACAUACAUAAAAACCUAAUCGUUAAAUCUUUGAAAUGGUAGAAUCUCAAAUAGGCAAAGACACAUUAAUGGUCAUAAAACACACACAACAAAGUAUAUACAAAAAUGGAGAUUUUCCUGAAACUCUGUGCUUGAAAAUUAUAAAGAAAAAUUGUUGAAAACUAUGUAAAAAAUGGAAAGAAACUAAACCAUAAAGAAUAGAGCAUCCAUAAGUAUUGUAAAAGUAUGAGUCUUGGUUGACAAGAGGGAGUUUUUUUUUUUUUUUUUUUUUUGAGACUGAGGGAGUGCAGUGGCGCGAUGUCCGCUCACUGCAAGCUCCACCUCCUGGGUUCACUCCUUUCUCCUGCCUCAGCCUGCCGCGUAGCUGGGACUACAGGCGCCUGCCACCAUGCCCAGCUAAUUUUUGUAUUUUUAGUAGAGACGGGGUUUCACCGUGUUAGCCAGGAUGGUCUCGAUCUCCUGACCUCGUGAUCCGCCCGUCU